GACGAACGCUGGCGGCGUGGAUUAGGCAUGCAAGUCGAACGGUAGGAUCCUUUCGGGGAUCUGAGAGUGGCGAACGGGUGAGUAACACGUAGGUGAUCUACCUCAAGACGGGGACAACCCAGGGAAACUUGGGCUAAUACCGGAUGUGAGCUAUCGCGAGAUAGUUUGAAAGGUGGCUUCGGCUGCCGCUUGAGGAUGAGCCUGCGUCCUAUUAGCUAGUUGGUGAGGUAACGGCUCACCGAGGCAGUGAUAGGUAGGCGGCCUUAACGGGUGGUCGCCCACACUGGGAUUGAGAUACGGCCCAGACUCCUACGGGAGGCAGCAGUCGAGAAUAGUCUACAAUGGUCGAAAGACUGAUAGUGCGACGCCGCGUGAACGAAGAAGCCCUUCGGGGUGUAAAGUUCUUUUAUAUGUGAGCAGUGACACCCAUAUUAAUAGUAUGGGUGUAGAGAUAUUAGCAUAUGAAUAAGUAACGGCUAACUCCGUG
rnacentral:rRNA from 1 species